UGUUUCUAAGGCUGCAAAAUGUACCAGCCCUUACUAUGUAAAUGUGUGUGACCCCUUGUAGCUGAGCUUCUGUGUAGAGCCUUCUAGGACAGCUGGUUCUGCCCCAGUUGGAUGUGAGGUAGUGUGGCUCUCCUGGCAGCACACCCUGCUCAGUCUCACUGAGACUGGAAUUGGGUGCCUUGAAAGAUGUUGUUGUGUUCUGCAGUUCAAGUCAGUGCUUAAGUUCUUAGCUGCUUCUUCCAGCAAUUAACAACUGAGUUACAUUUUUCUUAACUGUAGGUUUAGUACUGCUUAAAAAAACACCAAACAACUCUAUCACUCCCCAAAAUGCUUUCAGUGAAACAAGUGACACUUUUAAAUAAAUGUGCUUUAGAAUUUUAAGUUCUCAUCUAAAGUCAGGAUCUGUGUUUAUAAUAGAACAUAGAAAAUUAAAUAACAAAACAAAACUCUUAUUGCUUGGCAUUCCAAAAAACUGAGGAGCAAACUCUUAAACUCAACUUCCAGUUCCCAUUCAAAGAAACCCUAGGAUUCUUUCUUUAAGUUCGCUUUCUAUUUUCUCACUUUCAGAUUUUCAGACACAUCUUUCUACCUUGUCAUCAUGCCUCUGUGUCCCCAGAACCUGGGAGGUCUGUCUUCCAACCAAGGCAGGGAAUGCUGCUGCAGCAGAGUUCCCAGGGUUUCUGAGCCUCCCAGUGCAGGCUCAGCACCCAGUCUGUGGCCACUCCUUCACCUGCACAGAGCUGCACAGCUCUUACAAUCUCUCCUCUCUCACCCCACUAUCUUGGAGAGUUUACAGCCACACAAUAAAUAAUAUAUUAUGAACAUGCACUGCUAUUACUUCCAAGUAGUAGUAGUGUAAAUAUACACUGUAAUAGUGUAAAAUAAUACACUGUAAUAGUGUAAAAGUAGUGUAAAAUACACUGCUUCCAAGCAGUGUAUUUUCAAAUAAAUGGGGAGGACUUGAUGCCAGGCAGAAAAUCAGUAUCAUCUUUGUGCCCUGAGGUGCCAGCUGUGCAUUGUGCACAUUGAAGCAUUCAGUCUGUGCCUAGUAUCACAUGGGCAACUCAAGUGAUUCCUUUAUACUUUUUUUUCUCGUUUUUCAGUCACAUUUCAUCUGCAAACUAUUAUCUUUGAGGAAUGACUACUUCUCACCUAAGCAGUUGUAAUCUUAGGCCAUUCACUCUGGGAAACAUGUGCAGCUGUACAGCAGAGACACAAAGCUGGGAUUUGCUUAUGUGCACAUGCACAGGCAAACAUCCAUCCUGAAAUCUGUAUCUCAGAGACUUCACUAUCAAAAGAUUUCUAAAUACUUACUGCUGCUGUUUGAGAUCCAUUUGGGACAGCAUCAAGAAGCUCCUGUGGUGGAUUCAGAGGUUUGAUAUAUCUGGUAAUAAAAACUGUUUUUCCAUCAAGGUCAAUUACAGUUGUUAGGCACUGGCGGUUUGGAAACUUUGAUGUACAUUCAGCUUCAUAUUUUUCUGCUGCCUGGAGCAGUUUCUCAUCUUCUUGGGUAUCAAACUUCAAAAGACAGUAGAAUUUAUACAAAAACAGUUUUAUUUAUAGUUUGGACUUAAGUCUUUACUUAUAUUUGGUCAUUUUUCACCAUUUAGAGGACAAUAAAAAGUGUUAAAUUCUUUUCUAAUAGCACUUUGAACUCACCUUGUAGUAUAAAGUUUUGCUUACAGACAUAAAAGGAAGGUCAAGGCAAUGGAAAAUCAGGUAAUCUGCAUUCACUUAUGAAUGCCCACAAUGAUCUGUAUGUAUAAGCUGGCUUUAUUAAAGCACUGAAAAAUGCAGUGAAAGUUACGGCCAAGUAACACUGGGGGCAUGAGGAUGUAACACCACAUAUUAAGUCAAAAGUAAACAAUUAUGGUUAGGUACUAAUCCUGUGUGCUAUUCCUACAGCACUCCAUUAAAAUCACAAUAGACAAUAUGCAUAAAGUCCCAGUUAAUACUGCAACAACACUGCUCAGUGCCAAAAUAUUUGCAGAUAAAGUUCAAGUGAUUUUAGGUGAAUCCUUAUAAUUCAAAGGUGUUGAAAAUUUUCACAAUUUUAAAUGAGAUUUUUCAGAAGCAAAUGUAGGACUCAAAAGCACAUAUUAAUUAUAUAACACUGACAAUUAUUUCAUGAAGAUUAGAAGAUGUCAUCUUCCAAAGGUACUAAGAUUGGUCACAAUUAUCUAUUUAGAAUUCCUUGUAGACUUCUAGUAGUGCUGAGAAUUAAAGUUCAUCCUUCGUAAUAUUUUUGUUUCAAGUAAGCCACUUUUGUCAUUUGUUACUCUUCUUAAACUAAACUGAAGUGGAACAGCUGGGCACUGCCCUGCAGCUAGAACUCCAAAUCUGAAGAGAAGGCACACAGUGGUGUUUCUUCUCAACCAUAAUUAAAAGCAGAAAAGUAGAGCCUCUGGCACAUUGUAAAUUUUAAUGUAGAAAUUUACUGCAAAUAUUACUGGCAAAUAAGCAAUUACUAUGUCACGAUCAAGUAACACUAAUUGCAAAAAGGUUGCUGAAUGGCACUAACCCAAGCUAAAUCUUAAGCUGGGAACAACCAGAGUAUCUCAGCUGAUUUGUUAAUAUUGUACCUUCUUAAGCAUUUCAUUCAUCUAACAGAGGUUCAGGAAGGACAGCAGGAAAGAGGAAAAAUAAGUAAAGAAACAAAAAAGGAAUCAUAAAAUUAAAAUAAAAUUAUGCUUAGCAUCCUAAAACACUAUACAAGUAUUUCAAAUUAACUGCAGGUCAGGAAUAGGAAGAAAGUAUGGCAAAUUAUUUAGUUGUUGUUUUUUUUUUUCCCA